AUAAAAAGUAACUUGUUGAGCCAGUGCCAUACGGUUGAUGAGUUGUGUUUGUUUACUGGUUGCAGGUCGUAUCUGAAACAUCUAGAAGUGGCCGCAUGCUUGUCUGGUGUGAUGUGAUAUACCUAUGGUGCCUGGAUACUAGAUCAUAGACCAGGUAGCUUGCCCCGGAAGUAUGUGGCUAAGGAACAUAUUGAACUGCUGUGUGGUUCGCCUCGAACAUUUGAGGUAGUUCGUGUGUGGUGGUGGACGACUCGAACGGUGGAAAUGGGUGCCAGAUUGUGGUCCUGGCUGAUGGCGUUGCUGGUGGGCCUACAGUUUGCGCCGCUGUCCGAGGGCCUGUGGCGUCGUGGUGAGCCACCACACAACCGGCAGAAUAGACUGCGGACCCUAUUGCGUAUGCCUGGUGUAGAGCCAACCCAGCCAGAUGAUUACUAUUGUACAGCAUAUAAUUUAAGUUAUGAAGAAGCCUACAUAGUAAACUUUAAGCCGAAGCCAAAUCAUAGCACAGCAAGUCACAUGCUGCUUAUCGGCUGUGGAAACGUCUUCAGGAAGGAUCACCUUCACCCUGGAUCCUGGAACUGCGAUCGCAAUGCUGUUUGUGACAACCUGACGGUUCUCUACGGCUGGGCCCGCAAUGCAGCUAGCACACAGCUGCCAGAAGGUGUGGGAUUCCAAGUUGGCCAACAAACAUCUGUGAGAUAUUUAGUCCUUCAAGUGCAUUAUGACAGCCCAAUGCCAGAUGGGGAGUCUGAUACGACAGGGCUGGAGCUGCUAAUUGACCUGCAGCCGCAGAGAUACUUGGCUGGAAUUCAUGUAUUCUAUGCUAAGGACAGGACCAUCCCACCUGGUCACACAAACUUUCCUGUGGAUGUCAACUGUGUGGCAAGCCGAGAGGAACCCAUCUUUGUAUUCGCCUACCGGGUGCACACACACUCUUUGGGACAUGCUGUUACAGCCUACUUGCUGCACAAUGGCCGGUGGAGCUUGCUGGUCAAGGGAGAUCCACACCAACCGCAGGCAUUUUAUCCUUUGAACAAGACUGUGCCUGUCAAACCUGGGGAUGUUUUGGCAUCCCGUUGCACUUACAAUACCGUGUCCCGGGCGCUUCCCACAGAAAUCGGGCCAGGUGCUAGACAAGAGAUGUGCAACCUGUACCUGAUGUAUUACGCAUUGCGGUCCAGCGGUCGUACAUCGGGUCAGUGUGAAAACCUAGAGCGGCCAGCCCUAGUGAGCCAGAUCCCACUAGAAAGCGGUGACCAUGACGAAAGUGUGGUGGAAGGAUUUCCAGCUACUGGCAGCCAUUAUUCGUUCUCAGCCAGUGAAGGUUGGCCUGAUUCAGAGGUGCACCUUGGCCAAGUUGUUGCCGUGUCAAUGGAUCUCGAUGGGAACUUGGUUGUUUUCCACCGUGGAUCACGUGUAUGGACAGCACAGUCCUUUGAUUUCAAUGAUGUCUACCAGCGUGUGGAAGAAGGCCCCAUACCUGAGUCCACGGUUCUCACUCUUGAGCCCGGAAACGGCCACCUACUUCAUCGAUGGGGCCACCACCAGUUCUUUAUGCCACAUGGUCUCACUGUGGACAGGGAAGGUUUUAUCUGGCUCACAGAUGUUGCGUUACACCAGAUUCACAAGUACCCUCCUGGUGGAGCCAAGAUUCCCUUGCUGUCUCUUGGAGAACGCUUCCAGCCCGGAGGGGGCAAGGGCCACUUCUGCAAGCCGACCAGUGUGGCCAUUGCAAGUGGAGGAGACUUCUAUGUGGCUGACGGGUAUUGCAACUCUCGAGUGGUGCACUUUGACAAGGGAGGCAAGUUCCUUCGUCAGAUAGGUGAAGAUGGAGCGUUCUCUUCCUCUUUUGUGACUGCCCCUCCCGGGAGCUUUGCCAUCCCCCACAAGAUUGUUGUGGCCGACUCAGAAGGGCUGUUUUGCGUGGCCGAUAGAGAGAACGGACGGGUGCAGUGCUUUGACAUUAUGGAUGGCUCCUUCAAGUUCGAGAUUGCCAUAGAAGCGUUUCGGGGCAAGGUCUACUCCAUUGCAUACAGCGGAGGCCUGCUGCUAGCGGUGUCGGGUCCUCGUGUCUUGUCCGAUCCCUCCAGGGCCUUUCUCUUCAACCUGACAUCAAGGCAGCUGUUGGCUUCAAUGGCCCCUCCUAGUGGGUCUUUUAUGGCCCCACACGACAUUGCAUGUUCUAAGGACAUAGAGCAGGUGUACGUGGGUGAAAUCGGUCCCAACCGCCUGUGGCGAUUUGUCCGAGAGAUGCACCGCAGUAGCAAGAAAGUGCUGGUCGACGUACCUCCACCAGCGGUACCUAGCACGACGCCCCCUUCGACAUCGCGAGGAGAAUCGAGCUCCAGCAAGUUGCCUACCUCGGCUGGUGAAGAGGACAACUUUGGCUUCUCCAUGGUGGUGGUUGCACUGCUGGCCAUCCCCAUCCUUUCUUUUCUCAUCAUCACCCUUAUUGUGCGACUCAAGCGCAGGAAAGCCACUUACUGCACAACUGUAUGUGGUAAAUACACUCAACUCAACUCAAGUUGCUCUGCUCAAUGAGGCCCAGCCGCAAAGGCCAGUGGGGCCCUGGACUUCACCCUAAUUCUCUCUAACAAAGGGUCCAGCAGCAAAGGCUGGUCCCAGGGAAAGCUGGACCUGGGUCAGCUUCUGCAGCCGCACCGGGGUUUCGACCGACUAGCUCUUGACGACACAGCGUCCGAGGGCAGCGAUUCUGACGUUGAGGAGUACAAU
rnacentral:misc_RNA from 1 species